rnacentral:rRNA from 1 species
ACUCCUACGGGAGGCAGCAGUGGGGAAUAUUGCACAAUGGGCGCAAGCCUGAUGCAGCCAUGCCGCGUGUAUGAAGAAGGCCUUCGGGUUGUAAAGUACUUUCAGCAGUGAGGAAGGUGGGUAUGUUAAUAGCAUACUCAUUUGACGUUAGCUGCAGAAGAAGCACCGGCUAACUCCGUGCCAGCAGCCGCGGUAAUACGGAGGGUGCGAGCGUUAAUCGGAAUUACUGGGCGUAAAGCGCAUGCAGGUGGUUGUUAAGUCAGAUGUGAAAGCCCGGGGCUCAACCUCGGAAUUGCAUUUGAAACUGGCAAACUAGAGUACUGUAGAGGGGUUAGAAUUUCAGGUGUAGCGGUGAAAUGCGUAGAGAUCUGAAGGAUACCGGU